UUAAUUGAAGCUAAAAACUAAGCAAAUUAUUGUUAAUAAUUAAAUUGAAUUUAAAAUAUUCCAAUUAAA
rnacentral:tRNA from 1 species